rnacentral:rRNA from 1 species
UACAGAGGUCUCAAGCGUUGUUCGGAUUCAUUGGGCGUAAAGGGUGCGUAGGCGGCGCGGUAAGUCGGGUGUGAAAUCUCGGAGCUUAACUCCGAAACUGCAUUCGAUACUGCCGUGCUUGAGGACUGGAGAGGAGACUGGAAUUUACGGUGUAGCGGUGAAAUGCGUAGAUAUCGUAAGGAAGACCAGUGGCGAAGGCGGCUCACUGGCCCGGUACUGACGCUGAGAUACGAAAGCGUGGGGAGCAAACAGG